GCCAGUGUGGUGUAGUGGUCUGGGUGUUGGACUACAACUCUGGAGACCACUGUUCAAUUCCCAGCUCAGUCA